UGGGGAAUUUUGGACAAUGGGCGAAAGCCUGAUCCAGCAAUGCCGCGUGUGUGAAGAAGGCCUUCGGGUUGUAAAGCACUUUUGUCCGAAAAGAAAUCCUUGGCUCUAAUACAGUCGGGGGAUGACGGUACCGGAAGAAUAAGCACCGGCUAACUACGUGCCAGCAGCCGCGGUAAUACGUAGGGUGCAAGCGUUAAUCGGAAUUACUGGGCGUAAAGCGUGCGCAGGCGGUUUGCUAAGACCGAUGUGAAAUCCCCGGGCUCAACCUGGGAACUGCAUUGGUGACUGGCAGGCUAGAGUAUGGCAGAGGGGGGUAGAAUUCCACGUGUAGCAGUGAAAUGCGUAGAGAUGUGGAGGAAUACCGAUGGCGAAGGCAGCCCCCUGGGCCAAUACUGACGCUCAUGCACGAAAGCGUGGGGAGCAAACAGGAUUAGAUACCCUGGUAGUCCACGCCCUAAAACGAUGUCAACUAGUUGUUGGGGAUUCAUUUCCUUAGUAACGUAGCUAACGCGUGAAGUUGACCGCCUGGGGAGUACGGUCGCAAGAUUAAAACUCAAAUGAAUUGACGGGGUCAUAGCUGUUUCCU
rnacentral:rRNA from 1 species